AUUGGACGCUAGCGGGAUGCCUGACACAUGCAAGUCGAACGGAGUGGCGAACGGGUGAGUAAUGCAUAGGAAUGUGCCUAUUAGUGGGGGAUAACUACGAGAAAGUGUCGCUAAUACCACAUACUAUUGGAGGCGCCUAUAUCGGAUUAGCUAGUUGGUGGGGUAAUUGCCUACCAAGGCGACGAUCCGGAGCUGGUCUGAUAGGAUGAUCAGCCAAACUGGAACUGAGACACGGCCCAGACUCCGACGGGAGGCAGCAGUGGGGAAGAUUGGACAAUGGGCGAAAGCCUGAUCCAGCCAUCCCGCGUGUAUGAAGAAGGCCUUAGGGUUGUAAAGCACUUUCGGCGGGGAGGCGUUACCCGCAGAAUAAGCACCGGCUAACUACGUGCCAGCAGCCGCGGUAAUAC
rnacentral:rRNA from 1 species